CCUACGGGUGGCAGCAGUGGGGAAUAUUGCACAAUGGGGGGAACCCUGAUGCAGCAACGCCGCGUGGGUGAAGAAGUACUCCGGUAUGUAAAGCCCUGUCAGCAGGGAAGAAAAUGACGGUACCUGACCAAGAAGCCCCGGCUAACUACGUGCCAGCAGCCGCGGUAAUACGUAGGGAGCAAGCGUUGUCCGGAAUUACUGGGUGUAAAGGGAGCGUAGGCGGGAUGGCAAGUUGGGUGUUAAAUCUACCGGCUCAACUGGUAGUCGCACUCAAAACUGCUAUUCUUGAGUGGGCGAGAAGUAUGCGGAAUGCGUGGUGUAGCGGUGAAAUGCAUAGAUAUCACGCAGAACUCCGAUUGCGAAGGCAGCAUACCGGCGCCCAACUGACGCUGACGCACGAAAGCGUGGGUAUCGAACAGGAUUAGAUACCCUUGUAGUC
rnacentral:rRNA from 1 species